CGCCUUUUGAAUUUUUAACAUGAAAGGUCCUGCCUGCCCAGUGACUUUGUUCAACGGCCGCGGUAUUAUGACCGUGCAAAGGUAGCGUAAUCACUUGUCUUUUAAAUAAAGACCAGUAUGAACGGCAAAACGAGGGCCUAACUGUCUCACUAGAUCAGUCAGUGAAAUUAAUCUCCCAGUGCAAAAGCUGGAAUAUAUGUAUAAGACGAGAAGACCCUGUGGAGCUUUAAACCUAAGCUAAUAUAUAAUAUACCAUAGCACCAGGUUUUAGGUUGGGGCGACCACAAGAAAAAAUAAACUCUUAAGAUAUUAACAAGAAGGACACUUCAAACAAAUGGUAAUACUAACACAUUGACCCAAUAUUUGAUCAACGAACCAAGUUACCCCAGGGAUAACAGCGCAAUCCACUCACAGAGCCCAUAUCGACGAGCGGGUUUACGACCUCGAUGUUGGAUCAGGACCACCUAAUGGUGCAACAACUAUUAAAGGUUCGUUUGUUCAACGAUUAAAGUCCU
rnacentral:rRNA from 1 species